AUUGAACGCUGGCGGCAGGCCUAACACAUGCAAGUCGAAUGGUAACAGGAAACAGCUUGCUGUUUCGCUGACGAGUGGCGGACGGGUGAGUAAUGUCUGGGAAACUGCCUGAUGGAGGGGGAUAACUACUGGAAACGGUAGCUAAUACCGCAUAACGUCGCAAGACCAAAGAGGGGGACCUUCGGGCCUCUUGCCAUCAGAUGUGCCCAGAUGGGAUUAGCUAGUAGGUGGGGUAACGGCUCACCUAGGCGACGAUCCCUAGCUGGUCUGAGAGGAUGACCAGCCACACUGGAACUGAGACACGGUCCAGACUCCUACGGGAGGCAGCAGUGGGGAAUAUUGCACAAUGGUCGCAAGCCUGAUGCAGCCAUGCCGCGUGUAUGAAGAAGGCCUUCGGGUUGUAAAGUACUUUCAGCGGGGAGGAAGGGAGUAAAGUUAAUACCUUUGCUCAUUGACGUUACCCGCAGAAGAAGCACCGGCUAACUCCGUG
rnacentral:rRNA from 1 species